GAUCAUGGCUCAGGAUGAACGCUAGCGGCAGGCUUAACACAUGCAAGUCGAGGGGUAUAGUUCUUCGGAACUAGAGACCGGCGCACGGGUGCGUAACGCGUAUGCAAUCUACCUUUCACAAAGGGAUAGCCCAGAGAAAUUUGGAUUAAUACCUUAUAGUAUAGCGAGUUCGCAUGGAUUUGCUAUUAAAGAUUUAUCGGUGAAAGAUGAGCAUGCGUCCCAUUAGCUAGUUGGUAAGGUAACGGCUUACCAAGGCUACGAUGGGUAGGGGUCCUGAGAGGGAGAUCCCCCACACUGGUACUGAGACACGGACCAGACUCCUACGGGAGGCAGCAGUGAGGAAUAUUGGUCAAUGGGCGCAAGCCUGAACCAGCCAUGCCGCGUGCAGGAUGACGGUCCUAUGGAUUGUAAACUGCUUUUGUACAGGAAGAAACACCCCGACGUGUCGGGACUUGACGGUACUGUAAGAAUAAGGAUCGGCUAACUCCGUGCCAGCAGCCGCGGUAAUACGGAGGAUCCAAGCGUUAUCCGGAAUCAUUGGGUUUAAAGGGUCCGUAGGCGGCUUAAUAAGUCAGUGGUGAAAUCCCUACGCUUAACGUAGGAACGGCCAUUGAUACUGUUAGGCUUGAAUUAUUAGGAAGUAACUAGAAUAUGUAGUGUAGCGGUGAAAUGCUUAGAGAUUACAUGGAAUACCAAUUGCGAAGGCAGGUUACUACUAAUGGGUUGACGCUGAUGGACGAAAGCGUGGGUAGCGAACAGGAUUAGAUACCCUGGUAGUCCACGCCGUAAACGAUGGAUACUAGCUGUUGGAAGCAAUUUCAGUGGCUAAGCGAAAGUGAUAAGUAUCCCACCUGGGGAGUACGUUCGCAAGAAUGAAACCCAAAGGAAUUGACGGGGCCCGCACAAGCGGUGGAGCA
rnacentral:rRNA from 1 species